rnacentral:lncRNA from 1 species
AUAAUGAACAAAGAUACAGAGUAUGACAAUUGGGAUUAUUACAGUUGAGCCAAGCUUGGCACACCGUUCAUCUAGAAUUCUCCAGAACACAAAAUUCUCAAAUUUUGUGUUUCCUUUGACUAGUAUUGCAGUUUCAGUUAUAUUUCAGAGUGGAAUAUACAACUAAUUAGGUCAUCGAAGAUUCUGUCAUCUCGAUGAUAAAUUUUAAUAUUACAGAGCAGAGGAUGAGGAUGCAACACAUCUUGAAGAUAACGAAUGUGAUAUCAAAUUGGCAGGGGAUAGUUUCAUAGUAAGUUCUGAAUUCCCUGUAAGACUGAGUGUAUACUUAGAAGAAGAGGAUAUUACUGAAGAAGCUGCUUUGUCUAAAAAGAGAGCUACAAAAGCCAAAAAUACUGGACAGAGAGGCCUGAAAAUGUGACAGGAUCAUGAAUGUCAAAGGUGAAGCAUAUAGAAAAAACGACUUCAUAGAAAUGAAUAAAGAUAAAUGUGGAUAUAUGUACCAGUCUGGUGGUGAAGAAAUUCUGAAACCCAGAACUUUAUAACAAGAAAAAAAAUUUUUAACCCUGUGAAGAAGUUUGUGAAAGAAACUUGUGAAGUAGUAAUAAUUAGAAAAAAAACCAUUAAAACACCAGAGAAAAUACAUAGAAAAAUUUGAGAAAUUGUC